UACAGAGGGGGCAAGCGUUAUUCGGAAUUAUUGGGCGUAAAGGGCGCGUAGGCGGCUUGGCAAGUGGAUGGUGAAAUCCCUCGGCUUAACCGAGGAACUGCCGUCCAAACUGCUUGGCUUGAGACCAGGAGAGGUGAGUGGAAUUCCCAGUGUAGCGGUGAAAUGCGUAGAUAUUGGGAGGAACACCAGUGGCGAAGGCGGCUCACUGGACUGGUACUGACGCUGAAGCGCGAAAGCGUGGGGAGCAAACGGG
rnacentral:rRNA from 1 species